rnacentral:rRNA from 1 species
AUUGAACGCUGGCGGCAUGCUUUACACAUGCAAGUCGAACGGCAGCGGGGGCUUCGGCCUGCCGGCGAGUGGCGAACGGGUGAGUAAUGCAUCGGAACGUGCCCAUGUCGUGGGGGAUAACGUAGCGAAAGCUACGCUAAUACCGCAUACGCCCUGAGGGGGAAAGCGGGGGAUUCUUCGGAACCUCGCGCGAUUGGAGCGGCCGAUGUCGGAUUAGCUAGUAGGUGAGGUAAAGGCUCACCUAGGCGACGAUCCGUAGCGGGUCUGAGAGGAUGAUCCGCCACACUGGGACUGAGACACGGCCCAGACUCCUACGGGAGGCAGCAGUGGGGAAUUUUGGACAAUGGGCGCAAGCCUGAUCCAGCCAUGCCGCGUGAGUGAAGAAGGCCUCGG